rnacentral:tRNA from 2 species
GCGCUCGUCGUUCAAUGGAUAGGACAUUGGCCUGCGAAGCCGAAAAUCCAGGUUCGACUCCUGGCGAGCGCACAA